CUGUCCAGGGUGUACCCCGCCUUCGCCCUUCAGUAGCCUGGAUAGGCUCCGGCACCCCCGCGACCCCGAAAGGGAAGAAGCGGACAAGAAGAUGGAUGGAUGGAUAUACAUAGGAACCUUUUUCAGGCAUUAGUUUCUUGUAGGAAGGGUCGAAGGCAGAGCUCAUAUCUCGUUCUUGUUUACAAAGACCGCCCUGCAUCGGAGCGUCUUUUUUUAGCCAACAAUCUCACAAAAUGGUCCAAUCUAAGGUAAGUUGUGCAAAGAUUACUUGUCUCAUUACAACAACACAGUAGAGUACUAAUAAUUAUUUGCCAGCCAUAAACAAAACACCCCACCGUAAAUGGGGUGUUUCAUGUAAACGGCAUUCAACACUCGUGCAUAUUUUCUUUUAAAAACUACUCUUUCACAAAGUAUUUUUGGUCAUUUUAGAAAUAUUGCGGUGGUAUAAAUGUGACUUUGUCUAUUUUUUUUUCCUUUAUGUCCCAAUAAUGAAUGUGGCUUCAUUCUAUUGAUAGCAGCAGGCUGACCAUGGUGCAGCACUCCACCUGUGGAGAGUGAGGACAGAUGUCUCCGUGACGGUGAGGAAAGUCAUGAAGAAUCCCCUCCUGGACUAGCAGGUGAUCAAGUCAGCAGCAGAGAUGAAAACUGUGAUGAGACGCAUCAUGAACAUCACAACCCACUAGUCCUGAAGCUGCAGGAGAGAAGCCAGCACGCUCCUCCUUUCAGUUGAAUGGCAGUUUGUGAGGAAGUAUCGCUGGGGUCCAGACAAAGUCCUUCUUGCACAGGAAGUUCACAAAGAUUAAGCGUGGGUUGCCAAGGACAGUAGGGAUGUAACUUGUGUCUCACUGUGGAGCUAACUAGACUUCUCAAAACAAGUCACCCCAUUUUCCCAAAACCUCAAAGUAUAAUCCAGAGUUGUCAAGGUCUCAUCCAUUAUUCCAUGCCUCUUCCCUACUUCCAUGCUGCUCCUCCCUUUAAUUUUCCCUCAAGCUGAAAAAUACAUACUCGACUACAACCCUUAGAUCCUGCUCGAUUUUUUUUUUUCCUCCAAGAAAUUUCUCUUGCAUUAAAAAGAUGGAGCUGCUGGCAUUCUGUUUUCCUGAACGUCAACAAAUCCCACAGACCAAACAGAGAUCUAAUCCUCAGAAUGAAAGUACGUUUUUCACCGUUGGGAUCCAAACAACGCGGCAGAGGAGCAUACUCUGUAUUCCUGACAACCUUGUUGGGUGCACACCUCCAUGUUUUUCCUGCAUUUACAGUGAUGUGAAUUUGGGCACUGCUUCAUGUCUUUUGGGGGGUUUAAAGCUGGGAGCAGCAGACAGUAAGUCAGAAAGUGUUCCUGGUCUUUUUCAUACAACUUGUUGCAGAAAUGGGAGAACACAAAUAAUGUCAGCUUUGUGGUGAAUUCAGCCUGCAGGAUGGAAAAAACUUAAACCACAGGAGCCACUCGUCAAAUAUGCACAUUUUUUUCCCUGCAUUGAUUUCCUUUAGGGCCUUAAUAUGACCCACUAGUAUGUAUUGGGCCAAUUUAAAUCCUUCUUAUUAGCUUAAGCCCAACCUUGGCCCAAUAUCACAUUGCAGAACUUAAUAUGGGUAGAUUGGCAUAAAAAAUGUAGGUGGCCACCAAUAAUUAUCAAAGUUGUAGACACCAUCACCUAUAAGUGUGUGCAACUUACAUUAUCCUUACAAAUACUUCGCGAUACACUUACCACACAAACGACAAUGGUAUACGUUCUACUUUCAUGGUGUCCUCUAAAGUGGUCGAACAAACCCCUUAAGAUGCAGCUGCUCCUUUCUACAAACCUCAGACCUGGAAAACAUAAAAAACUGGGCAAGGUUGAUGAAUGAUGGUGGCCAUCUUAUGGUGAGACGAUUCAGUAAACGUAAAUGAACGUCAGAAAACUUUGGAAUUUCACAGGCAGCUCCAAGCCCAAAGACCGAAACAGGGUAAGCAGCAAGGAGGCAACAACACAUGAGAACUGAGCUUGACCACGACACGAGGUACAAUAAGUGGGCAGGAAAGCAGAGGAAUGUGCAGUUCAGAGCAGGUGAGGGUAAUGAGGCAGAUGAGGGAGUAGCAAUGACCUAAUAGGCAGCAGCUGCUGGAGGUCAGGAAGGAGAGCAUGACAGAUUCACAGAUUUAUUCUAGAAAUCUGUAAAAAUGUGUAUAUCAACCUGUCCUGAUGUUUCUAAUUUUGUCUUUUUGUUAAAAAAAAAGUCCUAUUUUUUAUUACAGAUGAAAAGCUUGUUUCUGAUUUUCUUGUUUUUAAUGUAAAAAAGAAAAUAAUUCAUGAUUUCUGUCAUCAAAGGCAUCCUGACAUUUGCCUUAACUUACCACAUUUUAGUGUUUAUUACUGUUGAAUCUUCAGGUUGACCAUGUUUGGUGCAUGUUUGAAUCAAAAGAUUAAAAAAAAAAAAA